CCUACGGGGAGCAGCAGUGGGGAAUAUUGGACAAUGGGCGAAAGCCUGAUCCAGCCAUGCCGCGUGUGUGAAGAAGGCCUUCGGGUUGUAAAGCACUUUCAGUGGGGAAGAAAGCCUUGGGGCUAAUACCCUCGAGGAAGGACAUCACCCACAGAAGAAGCACCGGCUAACUCCGUGCCAGCAGCCGCGGGAAUACGGAGGGUGCGAGCGUUAAUCGGAAUUACUGGGCGUAAAGCGCGCGUAGGCGGUCUGAUAAGCCGGUUGUGAAAGCCCCGGGCUCAACCUGGGAACGGCAUCCGGAACUGUCAGGCUAGAGUGCAGGAGAGGAAGGUAGAAUUCCCGGUGUAGCGGUGAAAUGCGUAGAGAUCGGGAGGAAUACCAGUGGCGAAGGCGGCCUUCUGGACUGACACUGACGCUGAGGUGCGAAAGCGUGGGUAGCAAACAGGAUUAGAUACCCUAGUAGUC
rnacentral:rRNA from 1 species